GUAUUUUGAAUUAGUUUAUUCAUAAUAGUUUUCAGACAAAGUAAUUAAAUAGAGUUGAUGUUGAGCCGCCUCCUUUUUUUUCCCAAAAGAAAAAAAAGCUAGCAAGCGACAGACAUUUCACACAAGGUGGAUAUGGAUUUUUAAAAGUGCCAUAAAACACUUAUUAUGAAUGAUCCUUCCGCAGGUUCACCUACGGAAA
rnacentral:misc_RNA from 1 species